rnacentral:rRNA from 1 species
CGGCUAACUACGUGCCAGCAGCCGCGGUAAUACGUAGGUGGCGAGCGUUAUCCGGAAUUAUUGGCGUAAAGGGUGCGUAGGCGGCCUGUUAAGUUUAAGGUUAAAGCGUGGGGCUCAACCCCAUCACGCUUAGAUACUGGCAGGCUAGAGUACUGGAGAGGGAAGUGGAAUUCCAUGUGUAGCGGUAAAAUGCGUAGAUAUAUGGAGGAACACCAGAGGCGAAGGCGGCUUCCUAGACAGAGACUGACGCUCAGGCACGAAAGCGUGGGGAGCAAAUAGGAUUAGAUACCCUAGUAGUCCACGCCGUAAACGAUGAAUGCUAGGUAUCGGGGCAACCCGGUGCCGCAACUAACGCGAUAAGCAUUCCGCCUGUGGAGUAUGCACGCAAGUGUGAAACAUAAAGGAAUUGACGGGGGCCCGCACAAGCGGUGGAGUAUGUGGUUUAAUUCGACGCAACGCGAAGAACCUUACCAGGCCUUGACAUCCCUUGCAAAGUCUUAGAGAUAAGACAGAGGUUAUCAAGGUGACAGGUGGUGCAUGGUUGUCGUCAGCUCGUGUCGUGAGAUGUUGGGUUAAGUCCCGCAACGAGCGCAACCCUUGUCUUCAGUUACCAAUAUUAAGUUAGGGACUCUGGAGAGACUGCCGGUGAUAAACCGGAGGAAGGUGGGGAUGACGUCAAAUCAUCAUGCCCCUUAUGGCCUGGGCUACACACGUACUACAAUGGCUGUUACAACGAGCAGCGACAUGGCGACAUGAAGCGAAUCUCUGAAAGACAGUCUCAGUUCGGAUUGGAGUCUGCAACUCGACUCCAUGAAGUUGGAAUCGCUAGUAAUCGCGGAUCAGCAUGCCGCGGUGAAUACGUUCUCGGGCCUUGCACACACCGCCCGU